rnacentral:rRNA from 1 species
GACGAACGCUGGCGGCGUGCUUAACACAUGCAAGUCGAACGGAAAGGCCCUGCUUUUGUGGGGUGCUCGAGUGGCGAACGGGUGAGUAACACGUGAGUAACCUGCCCUUGACUUUGGGAUAACUUCAGGAAACUGGGGCUAAUACCGGAUAGGAGCUCCUGCUGCAUGGUGGGGGUUGGAAAGUUUCGGCGGUUGGGGAUGGACUCGCGGCUUAUCAGCUUGUUGGUGGGGUAGUGGCUUACCAAGGCUUUGACGGGUAGCCGGCCUGAGAGGGUGACCGGCCACAUUGGGACUGAGAUACGGCCCAGACUCCUACGGGAGGCAGAAGUGGGGAAUAUUCACAAUGGGCGGAAGCCUGAUGCAGCAACGCCUCGUGCGGGAUGACGGCCUUCGGGUUGUAAACCGCUUUCGCCUGUGACGAAGCGUGAGUGACGGUAAUGGGUAAAGAAGCACCGGCUAACUACGUG